AUGACGCUAGCGGAAGCCUAAUACAUGCAAGUCGAGCGGUAGAUGACUUCGGUUAUUGAGAGCGGCGCACGGGGGAGUAACACGUACAUGACCUGCCUAUCAGAAGGGGAUAGCCCUGGGAAACUGGGAUUAAUACCCUAUGGUAUUACUGAUAUAAAUGUUAGUAAUUAAAGUUGAGGCGCUGAUAGAUGGAUGUGCGUCUGAUUAGCUAGUUGGUAGGGUAAAGGCCUACCAAGGCGACGAUCAGUAGGGGGCGUGAGAGCGUGAUCCCCCACACGGGUACUGAGACACGGACCCGACUCCUACGGGAGGCAGCAGUAAGGAAUAUUGGUCAAUGCCCGCAAGGGUGAACCAGCCAUUCCGCGUGGAGGAUGAAGGCCCUAUGGGUUGUAAACUUCUUUUAGAUGGGAAGAAAAUGUUUUAUUUAUGGGACACUGACGGUACCAUCAGAAUAAGCACCGGCUAACUCCGUGCCAGCAGCCGCGGUAAUACGGAGGGUGCGAGCGUUAUCCGGAAUUACUGGGUUUAAAGGGUGCGUAGGCGGAUGAUUAAGUCUAAGGUGAAAGCAUGUCGCUUAACGAUAUAAUUGCCUUGGAUACUGGUUAUCUUGAAUAUGAUUGAGGAUAGCGGAAUGUGACAUGUAGCGGUGAAAUGCAUAGAUAUGUCAUAGAACACCAAUUGCGAAGGCAGCUAUCUGGGUCAUUAUUGAUGCUGAGGCACGAAAGCGUGGGAAUCGAACAGGAUUAGAUACCCUGGUAGUCCACGCCCUAAACGAUGCUAACUCGAUGUUUGGUUUUGU
rnacentral:rRNA from 1 species